rnacentral:rRNA from 1 species
AUUGAACGCUGGCGGCAGGCCUAACACAUGCAAGUCGAGCGGAUGAAGGGAGCUUGCUCCUGGAUUCAGCGGCGGACGGGUGAGUAAUGCCUAGGAAUCUGCCUGGUAGUGGGGGAUAACGUCCGGAAACGGGCGCUAAUACCGCAUACGUCCUGAGGGAGAAAGUGGGGGAUCUUCGGACCUCACGCUAUCAGAUGAGCCUAGGUCGGAUUAGCUAGUUGGUGGGGUAAAGGCCUACCAAGGCGACGAUCCGUAACUGGUCUGAGAGGAGGAUCAGUCACACGGGAACUGAGAAACGGUCCAGACUCCUACGGGAGGCAGCAGUGGGGAAUAUUGGACAAUGGGCGAAAGCCUGAUCCAGCCAUGCCGCGUGUGUGAAGAAGGUCUUCGGAUUGUAAAGCACUUUAAGUUGGGAGGAAGGGCAGUAAGUUAAUACCGUGCUGUUUUGACGUUACCAACAGAAUAAGCACCGGCUAACUUCGU